UACGUAGGGUGCAAGCGUUGUCCGGAAUUAUUGGGCGUAAAGAGCUCGUAGGCGGCUUGUCGCGUCGACUGUGAAAACCCGCAGCUUAACUGCGGGACUGCAGUCGAUACGGGCAGGCUAGAGUUCGGUAGGGGAGACUGGAAUUCCUGGUGUAGCGGUGAAAUGCGCAGAUAUCAGGAGGAACACCGGUGGCGAAGGCGGGUCUCUGGGCCGAUACUGACGCUGAGGAGCGAAAGCGUGGGGAGCGAACAGG
rnacentral:rRNA from 1 species